rnacentral:rRNA from 1 species
GUAGGGGGCAAGCGUUAUCCGGAUUUACUGGGUGUAAAGGGAGCGUAGGCGGCUGUGCAAGUCUGAAGUGAAAGGCAUGGGCUCAACCUGUGGACUGCUUUGGAAACUGUGCAGCUAGAGUGUCGGAGAGGUAAGUGGAAUUCCUAGUGUAGCGGUGAAAUGCGUAGAUAUUAGGAGGAACACCAGUGGCGAAGGCGGCUUACUGGACGAUGACUGACGUUGAGGCUCGAAAGCGUGGGGAGCAAACAGGAUUAGAUACCCUGGUAGUCCACGCCGUAAACGAUGAGUACUAGGUGUUGGGGGUUUGACACCUUCGGUGCCGCAGUAAACACAAUAAGUA